rnacentral:lncRNA from 1 species
AGUAAAAAAAGUUCAUAUAAAGUUUUAAAAAUAUAUUGUCUCCUUUACAAAGCUUAUAACCAAGGUAUUUAUAGACAAAAAAAAAGGUAAACGAAUGGCCACAAAUUAGCCCUUAAUGUUGUUCUAGAAGGAUGAAUAAAUGCUUAAACACUUUACUUCAACCGAACAGCCUAUAUUGGUUUCUUAAAUCCGUUCAUUCAUCCUUAGCUAGGAAGUAAGUUGAUCAAGCUCCUAUCCUUGCACUUGGAACAAUGGUGGUGGCUGCACAUUAAUGUAUGCACAAAGGGUGGCUUGGGAAAAUAAAUCAGCAACACCUUUGGCCGAAUGGUCACAUAGGAGACACCAAACAGCAACCCAACUUUAAUUAGAAAAUAAUGGUGCUGCUUUGGGAAAAGGUUUGGCCAAGCCUUGGAAAGCCAAUAGAACUUAUCACAUCCUUUAAUUCAUGUAUUCCCCAUGAAAAAGGUACUUGGAGAGAAUCAGUAGCCUCUUCUUCAAUGUAAGUCAAAGUGCAUGCAUCAUGAAUUGAUUCAGCAUUAAAUUCGGCAGCAAAGAAUUAAACCUUCCCUUUAAAUGCCGUUCCUUGCAUGCUGAACAUCUCAUUUAAUUCAUGUUUUGGUGCAUAUUAAAUUCGACCAGCAUGCCUCAUUUAAAUGCUGUCCCAUGUUCCUGCAGACAAUAAUUAAAUUCGGUCAAAUAAUGCAUGCACAUUACAAUUAAUUUCGGCAACCCCUUUUUGAACAUGAUUAAUCUCAUGCUUGAACCAAGACAAAUUAAUUAGCCAUAUUAAUUCGGCUGGACAUGAAUUAAGUAACAUUAAAUUCGGCAGCCCAAAAACACAUUAAAGUGGUUCAUUAAUUCGGCUGAACUCAAGCAUGUUAAGUCAACAAUGAGACAUAAUAAAUUUGGCUGAAACAUAGACAAAUUAAAUGCAUGCCUUAACCUAUGACAAAUUAAUGUGUACUAACUGAAAACAUAAUUAAAUCAUGUACUAAAUAAAGCAAAUUUAAUAUAAAAAAUUAUUAGACCCAAAUUAGAUCAUGUGCAUGCUGAAAUUAACAAACUAACUAAUGAACUUAAUUUAUUCUAGCAACUAUGUAAAAGCAUAAGUUAAAAUAAAUUGAAGUUCAAACAUAAUGAGCUGAAAUUAGCUCGAAUUGAGCUCCAUUGAACUGAAACAAGCUCGAUCAACUUGCAAGAAUUUGCGAUUGUCGCUUGAUGAACUGAACCAAGGAUGUUUUCGGGGCAGGGUCGUAUCAUUCCCCCUUCUUUAGAACGACUUGUCCUCAAGUCGAGCCAUUGGUUCACUCGAUCGCAGCAAAUUUUACUUAGCUUUCCUCGGUCAAACGGAACGGAUUGGAAUUGGAACAACUGAAAGGAAUAACCAUGAGUUAGCAGAAAUUGUUUCAGAUAAAUUUGUAAUCCAAAUGCAAGCAAAAUAGAACAAGAAAAUCCCAUGCGAGUGGACAGAUGCAAAGCAACAUGUUCACAAUGAUGCAAACAAAUUAAUUUACUCGCUAAUGCCUCGACAAUUAUUCGAAACGAAAAUGAACAUGUUCUAAGGAAAUCAAAUGUCUCAAAUCGUUUCCACGAGUCAUAACCAGCAUGUGAAUAAUGAAUUAAAUCAACAAAACUAUCUUUGGCACCACCUAAAGAGAACAACGAUGUUUCAAAAAGUUCAUGAGCCUUACCUUUAAAAGUAGUAAAACAAAGAUCAUUUUUACCUUGCUCGGUCAACACAAACCUUCGCUCCUCGGGAGUAUAUUGUAGUCGAAGCUUUUCAAUUUGACUCUCCAUCUUUGGUGGUUGAGAGAGCAAAGGAAUCAAGCUCAAUUUACAUCCAAAAUAAAUAAAAAAUUCUUUCAAUCGAUCAUGCAUCCAAAGUCUUAGUUGAUCAACACUUGCAUAUCUCAAAUUAUCAAACAGUCUUGAUAUGUCAUUAUUGCAAACAAGUGAACUCAAUCGGUUCAAAUGACAAGUAAUCAUACAUGUUCGCACGCAAUCAAAAUCAACAGCAUUUUCAACACGAUCGAUGUCAAAGAUAGAUUUAUAUGGAUUUUGAUCUUGCGUAGUCAAAAAGUGCCAAAGACGAUGGAUUACAAUUUCAUUUGUUUACAGAUCAGCAUCGCAAUUUGUACUAACUUUAUUCUUGCAUUCAUCGCUCAAAACAUACAUUUCAUGGCUAACCAAAGGAAAAAAAUCAUUUGCAUCAGGAUACAAAUAUUUUUCAAAAUCCACAGCAACAAUCAAAUUGUUUGCACUAAAUUUGGAAUGCCCAAGUUUCCCACAAAACGAAUCAACAUAGAAAAUUCUAGGUUUGAACUCACGUGUUUGAUCACUUAUUCCAUAGUGCAGUAAAAAUUUCAUUCUCACAGGCAUGUUUAUACAAAAGGGUUUCGUGUAAAGAUAUAAAGGAUUCACAUAACCAUGACAAUUGAAUAAAUCAAACCUUUUAUGUGGAUACCUCCAAUCUCGCACGUCCAAAGUUUGUACAAGCUGAAAUAAUCCAAUGUCAUCAAUAGAAUUUUCAACACGAAACACGUCAAAUACACAACUCUUCAUGCCUCCAUUUAAAAUAAAAUUAUCAUCAAAGAGCAGUGAAGGACAAUUAGCCAAAGCAAAAUAGGAAGGUCUUUUGAAAACUAUGGCUCCAGGAACUUUUUCAACAACAUCAAGCAAAGAAUGACAAUUAGCCAUGUCAAGACAUGAAACCUUUUUAAAGAAUAAAUCAUCAUCAAUAUUAUCACAAACGUUCAAGUGGGAUAAUGGAGACUUACACGGCAUAGAACUUUCACCUUUCUUACCUUUAUGUGCCGGUGGAAAAGGGUCUUCCAUGUUCUUACCUUUCUGAAUCAACUUGAAUCGCCACUCAUCAGAGAAAUAUUGUAAUUGAAACUCAUCAUAUGGAACUUUAGGAAUCUGAAAAGAAGAAAUAGAACAAGAACAACUCACAUGUGGGUUAGUUAAAACAACACUCACAUUUUCUUGUUCUUUUCCACUCGAUUUCUUUUCAAGCUCUCUUUCAAUUUCUUUUUCAAUCUCUUUUUGCUUUUCACUCUCUUUUGUUUUUGAAAUCUCAUUUUCAUCUUUUUCUUUUUCAAUCUCAAUCUCAAAUUAUUUUUUCUUUUUCUCACUCUCAUUUUCAUUUUCUUUUAUUUCUUUUUCUUUUUCUCUCAUUUCUUUUUUUCUUCUCUCAAUUUCAUUCAAGAUUCGUUCAUUUUCUCACAUCAACAUCUCUUGUCUUUCUUUUCUUCUAUUUUCUUUUCGUCUUGUUCUUUCAUUACAAGAAGAUGAUAACUUAUAAGAAUCAUAACGACAAGCUUCUUGUUGGAAAGAAAUGGCAGAUUCAUCAUGCAAGUCACGAUCAUCUCUUUGUGAAUAACCCUCCGUGGGAAAAUAUCUCAAUGCAUAAGAAACUUGUUCAUCUCUUCUCGAAUAAUCAUGGGAUGUGUGUUUUCGGAAUGAUCUUGUCUCCAUCUCUUGAUUCGGUGAAUUUGGCUUCCGUCGGAAUCUUUCCUCCACUCGAUCCAAUCUAUCAUGCAACUUAUCAAAUUUUGAUUUCACCAUUCUACGCAUCUCUUGCAUCAAAUAUUGGAAUUCUGAUUCGGAAAAUUCUUCUUGAGACAUAAUAAUUUUUUUUUUGCUGAAAGAAAAAUGACUAAAAUGAAAUAGAAAGUAAGUACCUCACCACAAAAUCUCACGCUUCACUCACAAAGAGAACAAAAAAUCACUCACUCUCGUGUUUGCACUCUCUUGGCUUUUACCUCCUCUCAAAUGUGCUCGCACACUCUUGCCUUUUUACCGCUCGGUUUUUGCCUCUCGAAGUUCUCCGCAAACUAAGUCGACAAAUCAAUACCGUUUGGGGUCGGCUUACAAAAUUGAUUUGGCUUGGUGGGUAAUGAUGAGAAAAAUGGUAGGCUAUCAAACAAAGAGGAGAAAUGGAAAUGUUAAGUGUGGCUGGAAAUGAAUUUAGUACUUCGAACAGCAAAUAAUGCUUUACAAACUCAAAAUGAAUUUCAAUCACUCCUUUUUUUUUAAUUCCGAAACUUUUUUUUCUUCUUUUUUUUCUUUUUUUUUCAAUACUGAAUACUAUAUAAAAAAAUUGAAUACAAAUAAUAAAAUUUUUUUUUUCAAAUUUUUUUUUCGAAUUUUUUUUACAAUCUCGUAAUAUCGAAAAUAACGAUUCUUACUCCGAUUCAGCUAGCUCUGAUACCAAAUGAUACGCCCUAGCCUCGGUGAUGAGAGUCGAGUCGUUGAUGUGCCCGAUCGUGAAUUGGAGUAAUAUUAAGGUUUGUCGAAGAUAGGUUAAGAAAGAAAGAAUAAAGGCUCAAAUUGGUUCAAAGAGGUUAUAGAAUGAAUGGAGAUUGUUAGGUGAACGUAAACCAAGUACUCAAGUUGAUCUAGCACAAUAUAACUGUGUUAUCCCGAAACUUAUACGAAUGCUUAGGUUGAGAUGGUAACGGUUAGGAAGGUAGGUAAUAGAAACGCAACCUCGACCCACUAUCAAUAUUGAUAGGAACCUCGGUAUAACUUGAACACCACACUUUGGGUACAAAGUGAUAAGUUCGAAAUACAAAAAUGGGUUGACGCCACAAGGGUUACUUGAUAAGUCUAACCAGUCCUUGGAGAAUAAUGAGAGUUGAAAACAAACUCACAAAGUAAACAAAUUUCAUAUAAAGUUUUAAAAAUAUAUUGUCUCCUUUACAAAGCUUAUAACCAAGGUAUUUAUAGACAAAAAAAAAGGUAAACGAAUGGCCACAAAUCAGCCCUUAAUGUUGUUCUAGAAGGAUGAAUAAAUGCUUAAACUCUUUACUUCAACCGAACAGCCAAUAUUGGUUUCUUAAAUCCGUUCAUUCAUCCUUAGCUAGGAAGUAAGUUGAUCAAGCUCCUAUCCUUGCACUUGGAACAAUGGUGGUGGCUGCACAUUAAUGUAUGCACAAAGGGUGGCUUGGGAAAAUAAAUCAGCAACACCUUUGGCUGAAUGGUCACAUAGGAGACACCAAACAGCAACCCAACUUUAAUUACCAAACAUGCAUGUGAAAAUAAUGGUGCUGCUUUGGGAAAAGGUUCGGCCAAGCCUUGGAAAGCCAAUAGAACUUAUUACAUCCUUUAAUUCAUGUAUUCCCCACGAAAAAGGUACUUGGAGAGAAUCAGUAGCCUCUUCUUCAAUGCAAGUCAAAGUGCAUGCAUCAUGAAUUGAUUCAGCAUUAAAUUCGGCAGCAAAGAAUUAAACCUUCCCUUUAAAUGCCGUUCCUUGCAUGCUGAACAUCUCAUUUAAUUCAUGUUUUGGUGCAUA